rnacentral:rRNA from 1 species
GACGGACGCUGGCGGCGUGCUUAACACAUGCAAGUCGAACGGAAAGGCCCUUCGGGGUACUCGAGUGGCGAACGGGUGAGUAACACGUGGGUGAUCUGCCCUGCACUUUGGGAUAAGCCUGGGAAACUGGGUCUAAUACCGAAUAGGACCACGCGCUUCAUGGUGUGUGGUGGAAAGCUUUUGCGGUGUGGGAUGGGCCCGCGGCCUAUCAGCUUGUUGGUGGGGUAAUGGCCUACCAAGGCGACGACGGGUAGCCGGCCUGAGAGGGUGACCGGCCACACUGGGACUGAGAUACGGCCCAGACUCCUACGGGAGGCAGCAGUGGGGAAUAUUGCACAAUGGGCGCAAGCCUGAUGCAGCGACGCCGCGUGAGGGAUGACGGCCUUCGGGUUGUAAACCUCUUUCAAUAGGGACGAAGCGCAAGUGACGGUACCUAUAGAAGAAGCACCGGCCAACUACGUG